CGGGGCGCUCACCUGGGUGCACCUAGUCCCGCGGGGCCGUGGGCCCGAGGAAGCUCAGCGGGCAUAGGCCUGGUCAUUCGUUCGUCCAUUCAUUCAUUCCUUCCUUGAGCUGUCUCAGGAAUAGAGAUGGGUGGUCUGUGGAUCCUAGAGCAAGUUCUGGAGAUGGUGGAGAGGUGCCAAGCAGAAUUGCCAUAAUCCUCGACGGCAAGAGGCAGCUUACCUUGUGCCUUUCUUCUGAUGGCUGUAGGGAUUAAGAGACCAAGAUUCGCUUCCUCACCUCGUCUCCUGCCUGCACCGCGUCAGAACCUGGGAAGCUCUGGCCGGAUUCUUCCCCAAGGAGGCCGUGAGGAGGGGCCGGUGGAAGUUCAGAGGCAAUUUGACAUGGAACUCAGCCUGCUGGUUGUUCCCUUCUCUGAGCUU